rnacentral:lncRNA from 1 species
GCGCCCCAGCGGAGUGCGUGGUCUCAGGGUCCUGCUCACCAUGGUUCCCGGAGUGCCGCUCCCGCCGGAGAUCCAGCUGGCGCAGCGUCUGGCGGGCAAUGAGCAGGUGACGCGGGACCGCGCGUUACGGAAGCUGCAGAAGUACAUCGUGGCCAGGAGUCAGCGAGCGACAGAGCACCUGUUCCUGCGGGCCUUCUGGCAGACCAUGAUCCGAGAGUGGGUGGGCAUCGACAGACUGCGUCUGGAUAAGUUCUACAUGCUCAUGAGGAUGGUCCUGAGUGAGUCGCUGAAGGCUGUGAAAACCGGAGGCUGGGAAGAGAGACAGAUUGAGCAGCUGCUGCAGCUGCUGACCACCGAGAUACUGAGCCCUGACAGCCAGGCCCCCAAUGGGGUGAAGAGCCACUUCCUAGAGAUCUUUCUGGAGGAACUGACCAAAGUGGGCGCUGCAGAGCUCACCGCAGACCAGAAUCUGCAGUUCAUCAAGCCCUUCUGCCAGAUAGCAGCCCGCACUAAGGACUCCCUGGUUUUGCAUAAGAUCACUCAGAGCAUCUUUGAGGCGAUCGUGGAACAGGCUCCCUUGGCCAUAGAAGACCUCAUGAAUGAACUAGAUGCACAGAGCGGAGAGGGGGAAGGGUCAGACGAGGACGAUGGUGAUGAUGACAGUGACGAGGCCUCAGAGGACGAGCAGGAUCUGCAAGACACAGCUCCCAAGAAUCAGCCUGCAGGCUCUGUAAGUAGGGCUGACCUUGAGGUGGACGAGGAGGCGUGGGAUGACGAGGAAGACACUGGCCCUGUCCUCCAGUUUGACUACGAGGCAGUGGCUAACAAACUGUUCAAGCUGGCCAGUAGACAGAGCACCCCCUCUCAGAACCGGAAGCGCCUCUACAAAGUGAUCCAAAAGCAUUUUCCCUGAGGAUGAUGUCCCUGAAAAAGCCUAUAAGAAGCUGCUAGAAGGGAGGCGGAAACAGAAGAAGAAAAAGAAGCGCUUGCCCACACUGCAGCC